rnacentral:misc_RNA from 1 species
AACGCACAUUGCGCCCCUUGGUAUUCCGGGGGGCAUGCCUGUUCGAGCGUCAUUACAACCCUCAAGCAUUGCUUGGUAUUGGGCUCCGCUGUUUAUCCAGCGGGCCUUAAAAUCAGUGGCGGUGCCAUUGGGCCCUGAGCGUAGUAAAUAUCCUCGCUAUAGGGACCCUGUGGUUACUAGCCAACAACCCCCACUUUUUAAGUUUGACCUCGGAUCAGGUAGGGAUACCCGCUGAACUUAA